rnacentral:rRNA from 1 species
GUAGGGAAUAUUGCACAAUGGAGGAAACUCUGAUGCAGCGACGCCGCGUGAGUGAUGAAGGCCUUCGGGUCGUAAAACUCUGUGAUAAGGGAAGAUGAUGACGGUACCUUAUCAGAAAAGACCGGCUAACUUCGUGCCAGCAGCCGCGGUAAUACGAUGGGUCUAAGCGUUGUUCGGAAUCACUGGGCGUAAAGCGGGUGUAGGUGGCUAUGCAAGUUGGAUGUGAAAGCCCCGGGCUCAACCCGGGAAGUGCAUCCAAAACUACGUAGCUUGAGUGCGGGAGAGAAAGGCAGAAUUCCUGGUGUAGUGGUGAAAUACGUAGAUAUCAGGAGGAACUCAGGUGGCGAAGGCGGCCUUUUGGCCCAGCACUGACACUCAGACCCGAAAGCGUGGGUAGCAAACAGGAUUAGAAACCCUAGUAGUCC